GGUGCAGGCCAAAGUGAGCUGCUGUGGAGUGGGACAAGCACAGCACAGGAGUCAGGAGACCUGGGCAUGGGUGUGGCUCUGUGUGUAGACCACACCUUGGUCUCUUUCAGGAUGCUUCCACAAGUCUGUGGGCCUCACCAACACUCAUAUAAAUUUGCAGAGGCAGAUUUUGUGAGCAUUCUUCUUAACCCCUAUCUCCAAAGACUUUCCUCAUCUGCAAUUCAGAGGACAAGAGUAGAGGAGUAGCUUCUAAGCUGAAUGUGGCCUUUUUCACUGAAGGGACCAGUGUAAAACAAUACAUUCACAUAGCAGGCUCAGUUCCUUUGUGCCAGCCCAGUUCCACUGUAGCAGCCCUCCUGGCCUUACACAUUAGAUUCUUGGAAGCAAGCCUCAUCCUCUUGUAAAACAACACCCAGC
ensembl:lncRNA